rnacentral:rRNA from 1 species
UACGUAGGGGGCAAGCGUUGUCCGGAAUCAUUGGGCGUAAAGAGCGUGUAGGCGGCCCGAUAAGUCCGCUGUGAAAGUCCAGGGCUCAACCCUGGAAUGCCGGUGGAUACUGUCGGGCUCGAAUCCGGAAGAGGCGAGUGGAAUUCCUGGUGUAGCGGUGAAAUGCGCAGAUAUCAGGAGGAACACCAAUGGCGAAGGCAGCUCGCUGGGACGGUACUGACGCUGAGACGCGAAAGCGUGGGGGAGCAAACAGG